UCGGGGCUGCUUGUUGAACCAAACACCCAACCCAGAGUGGCACGAACCGGGAGAAUUCGACUGUUUAAUAAAAACAAGCCAUGGGAUAUUUGCUGCCGGGUUUUGACGCAAUGUGAUUUCUGCCCAGUACUCGCAAUGUCAAAGUGAGAAAUCCAACCAAGCGCGGAUAAACGGCGGGAGCAACUAUGACUCUCUUAAGGUAGCCAAAUGCCUCGUCAUCUAAUUAGUAAUGCGCAUGAAUGGAUUAACGAGAUUCCUACUGUCCCCAUCUACUAUCUAGCCGAACCACAGCCAAGGAAACGGGAUUGG
rnacentral:ncRNA from 1 species